GACGAACGCUGGCGGCGUGCCUAAUACAUGCAAGUUGAGCGCUGAAGGUUGGUACUUGUACCAACUGGAUGAGCAGCGAACGGGUGAGUAACGCGUGGGGAAUCUGCCUUUGAGCGGGGGACAACAUUUGGAAACGAAUGCUAAUACCGCAUAAAAACUUUAAACACAAGUUUCAAGUUUGAAAGAUGCAAUUGCAUCACUCAAAGAUGAUCCCGCGUUGUAUUAGCUAGUUGGUGAGGUAAAGGCUCACCAAGGCGAUGAUACAUAGCCGACCUGAGAGGGUGAUCGGCCACAUUGGGACUGAGACACGGCCCAAACUCCUACGGGAGGCAGCAGUAGGGAAUCUUCGGCAAUGGACGAAAGUCUGACCGAGCAACGCCGCGUGAGUGAAGAAGGUUUUCGGAUCGUAAAACUCUGUUGGUAGAGAAGAACGUUGGUGAGAGUGGAAAGCUCGUCAAGUGACGGUAACUACCCAGAAAGGGACGGCUAACUACGUG
rnacentral:rRNA from 1 species